UGCUACCAUGCAAGUCGAACGUGAUCCGCCCUUCGGGGUGGUGAAAGUGGCGCACGGGUGAGUAACGCGUGGAUAAUCUGCCCGAGGAUUUGGGAUAACAUCUCGAAAGGGGUGCUAAUACCGAAUAAGCCCACGGGGUCUACGGAUCUUGCGGGAAAAGGGGGGGACCUUCGGGCCUCCUGUCCUUGGAUGAGUCUGCGUACCAUUAGCUAGUUGGUGGGGUAAUGGCCUACCAAGGCGACGAUGGUUAGCUGGUCUGAGAGGAUGAUCAGCCACACUGGAACUGAGACACGGUCCAGACUCCUACGGGAGGCAGCAGUGGGGAAUUUUGCGCAAUGGGGGAAACCCUGACGCAGCAACGCCGCGUGGGUGAUGAAGGCCUUCGGGUCGUAAAGCUCUGUCUGGAGGGAAGAAAUGAUUGGGAGCUAAUACCUCUUGAUCUUGACGGUACCUCUGAAGGAAGCACCGGCUAACUCCGUGCCAGCAGCCGCGGUAAUACGGAGGGUGCAAGCGUUGUUCGGAAUUAUUGGGCGUAAAGCGCGUGUAGGCGGUCUUUUAAGUCUGAUG
rnacentral:rRNA from 1 species